rnacentral:rRNA from 1 species
UAACCGCCAAGGAGGGCGAAUUCUUAACGGCACGUACUGGGUGACUGGGGUG